rnacentral:rRNA from 1 species
AGUGAACGCUGGCGGUAGGCCUAACACAUGCAAGUCGAACGGCAGCACAGUAAGAGCUUGCUCUUACGGGUGGCGAGUGGCGGACGGGUGAGGAAUACAUCGGAAUCUACUUUUUCGUGGGGGAUAACGUAGGGAAACUUACGCUAAUACCGCAUACGACCUACGGGUGAAAGCAGGGGAUCUUCGGACCUUGCGCGAUUGAAUGAGCCGAUGUCGGAUUAGCUAGUUGGCGGGGUAAAGGCCCACCAAGGCGACGAUCCGUAGCUGGUCUGAGAGGAUGAUCAGCCACACUGGAACUGAGACACGGUCCAGACUCCUACGGGAGGCAGCAGUGGGGAAUAUUGGACAAUGGGCGCAAGCCUGAUCCAGCCAUACCGCGUGGGUGAAGAAGGCCUUCGGGUUGUAAAGCCCCUUUGUUGGGAAAGAAAAGCAGCAGGUUAAUACCCCGCUGCUCUGACGGUACCCAAAGAAUAAGCACCGGCUAACUUCGUG